UGAUCAACAAAGGGACCCGAUCAAAUGC
rnacentral:piRNA from 1 species